AGAGUUUGAUCAUGGCUCAGUAUUGAACGCUGGCGGAAUGCUUUACACAUGCAAGUCGAACGGCAGCACGGGGCAACCUGGUGGCGAGUGGCGAACGGGUGAGUAAUACAUCGGAACGUGCCCAAUCGUGGGGAUAACGUAGCGACAGUUACGCUAAUACCGCAUACGAUCUACGGAUGAAAGCGGGGAUCGCAAGACCUCGCGCGAAUGGAGCGGCCGAUGUCAGAUUAGGUAGUUGGUGGGGUAAAGGCUCACCAAGCCGACGAUCUGUAGCUGGUCUUAGAGGACGACCAGCCACACUGGGACUGAGACACGGCCCAGACUCCUACGGGAGGCAGCAGUGGGGAAUAUUGCGCAAUGGGCGAAAGCCUGACGCAGCGACGCCGCGUGAGGGAUGAAGGCCUUCGGGUUGUAAACCUCUUUCAGCAGGGACGAAGCGAAAGUGACGGUACCAGCAGAAGAAGCACCGGCUAACUACGUG
rnacentral:rRNA from 1 species